rnacentral:rRNA from 1 species
UACGUAGGCAGCGAGCGUUGUUCGGAGUUACUGGGCGUAAAGAGUGCGUAGGCGGUUUCUAAGUUUGGUGUGAAAUCUCCCGGCUCGACUGGGAGGGUGCGCCGAAGACUGGAAGGCUUGAGUAUGGGAGAGGUAAGCGGAAUUCCUGGUGUAGCGGUGAAAUGCGUAGAUAUCAGGAGGAACACCUGCGGCGUAGACGGCUUACUGGACCAUAACUGACGCUGAGGCACGAAAGCGUGGGUAGCAAACAGG